UACGUAAGGGGCAAGCGUUAUCCGGAUUUACUGGGUGUAAAGGGAGCGCAGACGGCAGUGCAAGUCUGGAGUGAAAGCCCGGGGCCCAACCCCGGAACUGCUCUGGAAACUGUGCGGCUAGAGUACUGGAGGGGCAGGCGGAAUUCCUAGUGUAGCGGUGAAAUGCGUAGAUAUUAGGAGGAACACCAGUGGCGAAGGCGGCCUGCUGGACAGUAACUGACGUUGAGGCUCGAAAGCGUGGGGAGCAAACAGG
rnacentral:rRNA from 1 species